UACAGAGGGUGCAAGCGUUGUUCGGAAUUACUGGGCGUAAAGCGUGCGCAGGCGGUUCUCCAAGUCCGUUGUGAAAGCCCCGGGCUCAACCUGGGAAUGGCAGUGGAAACUAGGGGACUGGAAUCUGGCAGAGGGGGGUGGAAUGCCGCGUGUAGCAGUGAAAUGCGUAGAGAUCGGGGGGAACACCUGUGGCGAAGGCGGCCCCCUGGGCCGGCCCUGACACUGAGACGCGAAGGCGUGGGGAGCGAACGGG
rnacentral:rRNA from 1 species